rnacentral:rRNA from 1 species
CGGUGGAGCAUGUGGUUUAAUUCGAAGCAACGCGAAGAACCUUUACCAGGUCUUGACAUCCCGAUGCUAUUUCUAGAGAUAGAAGUUACUUCGGUACAUCGGUGACAGGUGGUGCAUGGUUGUCGUCAGCUCGUGUCGUGAGAUGUUGGGUUAAGUCCCGCAACGAGCGCAACCCCUAUUGUUAGUUGCCAUCAUUCAGUUGGGCACUCUAGCGAGACUGCCGGUAAUAAACCGGAGGAAGGUGGGGAUGACGUCAAGUCAGCAUGGCCUUUAUGUCCAGGGCUACACACGUGCUACAAUGGUUGGUACAAAGGGUUGCCAAGCCGUGAGGCGGAGCCAAUCUCAAAAAGCCAACCUCAGUUCGGAUUGCAGUCUGCAACUCGACUGCAUGAAGUUGGAAUCGCUAGUAAUCGCUGAUCAGCAGGCAGCGGUGAAUACGUUCCCGGGCCUU